AACGAACGCUGGCGGCAUGCCUAACACAUGCCAGUCGAACGAGACCUUCGGGUCUAGUGGCGCACGGGUGCGUAACGCGUGGGAACCUGCCCUUAGGUUCGGAAUAACUCCCCGAAAGGGGUGCUAAUACCGGAUAAUGUCUUCGGACCAAAGAUUUAUCGCCUUUGGAUGGGCCCGCGUUGGAUUAGCUAGUUGGUAGGGUAAAAGCCUACCAAGGCGACGAUCCAUAGCUGGUCUGAGAGGAUGAUCAGCCACACUGGGACUGAGACACGGCCCAGACUCCUACGGGAGGCAGCAGUGGGGAAUAUUGGACAAUGGGCGAAAGCCUGAUCCAGCAAUGCCGCGUGAGUGAUGAAGGCCUUAGGGUUGUAAAGCUCUUUUACCCGGGAUGAUAAUGACAGGACCGGGAGAAUAAGCGCCGGCUAACUCCGU
rnacentral:rRNA from 1 species